CGGUAACGUGAUGGCAUCGGUUCUAGUGGGGAGCAGCCACUAGAGGAAACGGGGAAAGUGCAGUGAGAAUCUGCCGCUGUCCCGCAGCUGUAAUGGAGAAAGUGUUGAGUGUUGAGUGAAAGCCAAUUCAAAACUCAAAACUCAAAGUUUCUCCUGAGUCAGAAUGCCCGCCGAUGGUAACGCUGUUCU
rnacentral:ncRNA from 2 species